ACCUCCCCCUGCUCUGGAAAGAGUCUCUGGAGGAUGCCCCCACAGGUCCUGUUAAAGACACCAACCCCAAUUCUCCCCUGGCUGACAAGCAGGCUGGCUGCCCAGCCCAUGGAGAAGUUAGAGGACUUUUAUGCUCUGCAGCCAUGGCAGUGAGAGUCCAGCAGUGGUUUUAGGGGGAAUCACGCUGAAAUUGGGCUGUGUGUUUUUUGUUAAUGUGAAGAUGAAGCAUUCUCAUUGUGGCCCUGAACAGUUUACGUCCUGAAAGAGUGACUGGAGUUAACAAAGCCACUACAGGGCAGGGUUCAGAUUAGAAAGUAGUUUUUCUUUUUGUUAUUUUCUUUUAAAAGCCCUCUUUAUCUUUACCCUCUCUCCCAGGGCUCCUGUAGCUCCCUGAUAACCUGUAAGGCUCCUCGGGUAAGAACGGAGCUGCAAUGCUAAUGUCACAGAGCUGGAGCUGCCCCUCUGCAGAGAUGCUGCCCCCCUGGGCACCCCUUCUGCAGAGCCAAGCCCUGCAGGGAAUGCCAGCCUGUCCUUCCUCUCCCCUCGCCAGUGGGGUUUCAUGUAGUGAAUACCAACACGGAUCAAGACAGAAUAUUUAUCCAGGAAUGGUGGGUGGAGCAUGCCUGGAACCCAAGUACUGAGGAGGUGGAGGAAGAAGUAUCGGAAGUUCAAGGCCAAGGGGGACCCUGUCAGAAUAUAGAAAUUGAAAGGGGCUGGAGAUGUAACUCAGUUGCAGAGUGCUGGCCUGGCAUACACGAGGUCCUGGGUUCAAUCUGUGGUACUGCAGGAAGAGGAGAAGGAAGAGGAAGACUCAUCCAUCUCCAUUGCUGCCUCCCAAAGUUAGUGGCCGAUGCCAACACUGCGGGCAGCAGCAAGGACACCGUUCACCGGGGCUCCCACCAAUCUCAGCACUGGAUAUGCACAAGGAUUCAGGAUGCUCUGUCUCUCUAGUGCCUUCUCAGCUCCCCAGAGGCUCUGUACUGCUGAAGUCUGUUGAAGGCAGGGCUUCUGUUCCUAAAGACUUUGUCCUCUUCACACUCGGAGAAUCCGAAGACUUGCCAUGGGGGAUAAGUGGCCUAGCCUUUGCUGUUCCCUGGCCUGGCCUCCCUAAAAUUUCUUCUUGGGAUGCAAACUUCCUCAUCAAAUUUGAACAAAUGCCUCAUUUCCCUUCCGCAAUAUCUAAUCCAAGAUCAGGUAAAAAAUAAUGUUAAUUUUUUUCCUGGAGAAAAGUUGAUAGUUCUAAAUUGCAACUCAGUAAUGUAAGAGCUUUCAAACUGGCAUGUGCAAUUGGGCUGAGCUAACUUAAAUUCAAUAUCAGAGGAACAGCGAAGUAUUUUAAUCAUCUCAUUCUCAUAAUAGGAGAGGAAACUGGUUCCAUGGGAGGUAAACACCCCAAGCCACAAGGUUCUCAUGUAAACCACAGUGCUUGACUUGAGCUGACAGGGGGAGGGGACACUUCUUCCUGUGUGAUGGCAUUUCCUGAUGUGUGCUUUCUUCUUCCAUUUCUCCUUUCCUCUUUUUUAAAUUGCAGCCAUGAAAAAGUGGUAAAUUAGAAAGACACAGUAAAAUAUCAUCAGAAUUGGCUGGGACCAACUUCAAGGAGACAGUCUCAUGGGCCAGGCCUUAAGAAUGAGGGAGACAGAAAUAAACUACAGCUCACCUUUGGGGUCCAAGGCCUCUGGCGGGCCUUGUUUUAUGGUAUAUUCUCUGCCUUGUUCCUUGAAACAGGGCCAUUCACUGAACCUAGAGAUAAGAUGGCAUCCAUCAAACUCCCAUGAUUCUUCUGUCUUGGAAGACAGAAGGGGUAUAGAUUCACGUGUCUAAAUCUGACUCCCAUGGGUGUAUGUGGCUAAGUCUGGCACUGGUUUUUAGCAUGAGUGCUUGAAACUCAAGUUCUCAUUAUUACACAGAAUGCACCCUUAUCCCUGAACAACUUCCUUGGCCCACAGCUACCAUGAUCAUGAAGCAAGGGUGAGUUUUUGCUUGUGUCUGUCUGUGCCAGGCCCUCGGCUGCAGGUUCCAAGAGUCACCCUGUCACUGUGAUUAGCCUCAUUUGGGGCAGAGGAAACAGGUUCAGAGAAGGGAAGGGAUGCUUCUGUCACUGUUUCCCACCACAGGGGAGAGCACUUGACCCGGCACUCAUCAUCGUUCACCCUGGAUAACCUGGUCCCAGUGCUGGGUGGACCUGCAAUCACUGCGCUGACUAAAAAUCAAGAAGGGUUAGGGACUGGUCAGAAGGCUCAGUGGGUGAAGAUGCUUGCCCUCAACCCCGACCACCCGGUUCCGUCCUCAGGCCCUACACAGUGGAAGGAGAAAACUGACUCCUGAAAGUUGCCUUUGAUGAUGUGUGUGUGCUGUGACAUGUGCACACGCCCCUUCCAACAAACAAAUAGACUUAAAAAAAAAGAAAGAAAGAAAGAAAUGAAAGUUUGGGACAUGAGAACAAAUUCCUCUAAGAACAUAAAUCCUUGAUUUUAUAUGUGGCCAAUGUCCUUAGGGUGACCUUGUCACUGACAUACUUAUCACCCCUCUGUCCCCCACCCCGGGGCUGUCUAAGUUUCAGAUCAUCAGGAAAAGAUGCCAUUGCAAGAUUUGGAAAGCACAUGAGCCCCAAGGCCUUAUUUGCCUUGCUGAUAGACAGCAGCCCUGCGUUAUCUGCAGGAAAUACCUGAAAUGGUUGCUAGCCUUUCAGGUCCUCU